GCCUCGAUAGUGCAGUAGGUUAGCACGCGCCCCCGGAAAGGGGAAAUGCGGGUUCGAUUUCCGUCCGAGAUU